rnacentral:rRNA from 1 species
CGGCCGCGGUAUUUUGACCGUGCAAAGGUAGCGCAAUCACUUGUCUUUUAAAUAAAGACCUGUAUGAAUGGCAUGACGAGGGCUUAACUGUCUCCUUCUCCCGGUCAAUGAAAUUGAUCUCCCCGUGCAGAAGCGGGGAUAUUAUUAUAAGACGAGAAGACCCUGUGGAGCUUUAAAUGAUGAGAGAUUUUAUGCAACAAACCUAAAAAGGUAUAAGCGAAUUUAUACUCCCUCUAAUAUUUUUGGUUGGGGCGACCGCGGAGUAAAAAGAAACCUCCGUGAGGAAUGAGGUAAUUAACCUUAAAUCCCAGAACGACAAUUCAAAGAAACAAAAUUUUUGACCUAAAGAUCCGGCAAAGCCGAUCAACGAACCUAGUUACCCCAGGGAUAACAGCGCAAUCCCCUUCAAGAGUCCCUAUCGACAAGGGGGUUUACGACCUCGAUGUUGGAUCAGGAUAUCCUAGUGGUGUAGCCGCUAUUAAGGGUUCGUUUGUUCAACGAUUAAAAUCCU